UGUCUUGUCAGGCUAGAAUGGUAUACUUGUGGCUUUGGGAGCCAUAGACUCCGGUUCAAAUCCGGGCGGGCCCA
rnacentral:tRNA from 1 species